AACCUUCCACAUCCAUCAAAUCGUCUCUUGUUCAAUAAAGCCGUUAAGCCCAAUUCAGACUUCUGUCUCCAUGAGCUGGGAAGUAUUGUAGCAGAGAGGACACAAAGAACAGAGCAUAGAGACUACCAGAAAGCCCUGAGAAGCACGGGGAAUAGCUCGUAUUCUCCUCGCAUGACCAAGCAAUGGCAGUGAUUAAAAUCGAUAUCAUUUCAGACGCGAUAUGUCCCUGGUGCUUCAUCGGCUACCGCGACCUCCAAAAGGCCAUUUCCCUUUACCAAAAGACAUACCCAGGGGGCUCCAAGGAUGACUUCCAACUGUCAUGGAAGCCUUACUUCAUAGACCAAGAACCCCCCAGCGAGAGCAUAAUUAUCCACGACCGGAUGCUCCGGAAGAUGGGGCCCAAGAUGACCGAGGCGGCGCAGACGCGCCUAAGGCGCGUUGGGGCGACGUUGGGUCUCGAUUUUAAGUUCGGAGGGUAUAUGGGUAGCUCAAGGCUUGCGCACGUCCUUCUACAUACCACCGGUGCGGAGAAGGGGCUUGUGAUGCAAGGUAAGGUUUCUGAUAUAUUAUUCCGGUAUCAGUUGGAGCUGGAGGAGGAUAUCAGUUGUGUUGAUACGCUUGUGAGGG
rnacentral:sRNA from 2 species